UGUACGCAUAUUGUGUACCGUACACUGUGGGAGGAAUAUAAACAAACCCAGUGCAUAGCAGUUGAAGGUAAAUGAUUGAACUCUGAUAAACAGAGUGAUUUUACAGUCCAACUAAACAAACUAGUUAAUAUAUCAAGUUAGUGCGGAUACAACUUAAUUAUUUAAAUAUAAUUUUGGCUUUCAGAUAUGGGAAAUUUAUAAAUGCUUAAUGAGAUUUGUACAACUCGUACAACUAUAAAGGAGAAGCAAGAACUAGAUUGAAAUGAUAGAAGAAGAAGAACCAGAAGAAUAUGAGGAACCUAUGAGUGCGGAAAAUUCAGCGCAAAAAAGGCCUCAAAACAGCACUAAUAUAUGUAUGUGGGUUUAUUGCCAAAAACUCCAUACUAAAGUUCCCGGCCUUGUCAGAGUAGGCGAGGAGAAAACGAACUGUGAUUGGAUCGACUUAAAAUCCAGAGGAUCCUUGUUUUAUCCUUCUAAAGAUCUGUUGGAGGAAGUUGAAAAAUAUGAGAAAAUAUUUAAAAAAAAUACAUAGUCUCUGGAUAGAGGACAUGAUCCUAUCGAAAAAAAACAAUUUCAACUAUUACUGCAAUAAACCAAAGAUGGCCUAGGGAGGUUGUAAAACCUUUUGUAAAUGUAAGAUUUUUCAGUAAACUGAAAAAACUUAAUGUAAGCUUGAAGGAAAAUAGUAAAAAAAUGUCAGAACAUUGAAACAAACUGCUCAGUUUAUGUUUUGGAAUUAUGGUGUGAUAGAAUUAUAAAGCUUGACGACCUGCUUUUAAAAAAUAGAAUGUAUAAAAUGUCAAUAAAUAAAUGUACUUAAAUAC